AUUGAACGCUGGCGGCAUGCCUUACACAUGCAAGUCGAACGGCAGCGCGGGGCAACCUGGCGGCGAGUGGCGAACGGGUGAGUAAUAUAUCGGAACGUGCCCUGGAGUGGGGGAUAACGCAGCGAAAGUUGCGCUAAUACCGCAUACGAUCUAAGGAUGAAAGCAGGGGACCGCAAGGCCUUGUGCUCCUGGAGCGGCCGAUAUCUGAUUAGCUAGNGGUGGGGUAAAGGCCUACCAAGGCAUCGAUCAGUAGCUGGUCUGAGAGGACGACCAGCCACACUGGAACUGAGACACGGUCCAGACUCCUACGGGAGGCAGCAGUGGGGAAUUUUGGACAAUGGGCGCAAGCCUGAUCCAGCAAUGCCGCGUGAGUGAAGAAGGCCUGGUUGU
rnacentral:rRNA from 1 species